rnacentral:rRNA from 1 species
UAUCUCUGUAGAGUCUGCAUAUCAAUAAGCGGAGGAAAAGAAACUAACUAGGAUUCCCUUAGUAACGGCGAGUGAAGCGGGAAGAGCUCAAAUUUGAAAUCUUCAAGGUUCUACCUUGACGAAUUGUAGUUUAAAGAAGUGUUUUCUGUUGGAGUUUUGGUAAAAGUUCUUUGGAAUAGGACAUCAUAGAGGGUGAGAAUCCCGUAUUUGACCAUUACUUUCCAGCUGUGUGAUACACUUUCAAAGAGUCGGAUUGUUUGGGAAUGCAGUCCAAAAUGGGUGGUAAAUUUCAUCUAAAGCUAAAUAUUGGCGAGAGACCGAUAGCGAACAAGUACCGUGAGGGAAAGAUGAAAAGAACUUUGAAAAGAGAGUUAAACAGUACGUGAAAUUGUCAAAAGGGAAGCGUUUGACACCAGUGUUGUUUUCUCGAAAAUCAAUUCAUAAUAAUGAGAAUGUUAGUUGUAUUGACCUUAUCAGCUUUCUGCUUAAUUUUUCUGUAUUUUUAUGAAUGCACUUCUCGUUUAACAAGUCAACAUCAAUUUCUUUUGUUGUAAAAGGAGUAAUAGGAAGGUGGCUUAUCUUCGGUUAGAAAGUGUUUAUAGCCUUUGAUCUCUGCAAUCGGAGAGAUUGAGGUCUGCAGCGUAGAUCCUUCGGGAUUAGAUGACAUUUGUGCUAAGUUAUAGCUUUGUAUAGACAACUUGUUGACUAUAUUUAGUCUUGUAACUUACUCGCUUAUGCUAUUUUACCUACGCUUAGGAUGUUGAGUAGCGACAUACGCAC